rnacentral:rRNA from 1 species
UACGUAGGGUGCGAGCGUUAAUCGGAAUUAUUGGGCGUAAAGCGUGCGUAGGCGGUUCGUUAUGUCUGCUGUGAAAGCCCCGGGCUUAACCUGGGAAUGGCAGUGGAAACUGGCGGGCUUGAGUGUGGCAGAGGGGGGUGGAAUUCCGCGUGUAGCAGUGAAAUGCGUAGAGAUGCGGAGGAACACCGAUGGCGAAGGCAGCCCCCUGGGCUGACACUGACGCUGAGGCACGAAAGCGUGGGGAGCAAACAGG